UUGAACACUCCAAUCGCUGAAUAUGCUUUCCUUAAAUAAAAUUUAAAACUGGUUCGUGUAUAUGAAGAUUUGCAGAAUUCACUGUGCUUUUCUUCCUCCAUUUGUCUAACUGUUAAUUGUCAAUGUGAAAAGUAAACUGUUUCAGUGAAAGUUCAGUCAAACUGUUUAUUCAUUGCUCCAAAAUUUAAUAGUAUCAAAAGAUGACAAUAGAGGAUCUUUUCUUAAAAUUAGAAUAGAAAUACCUGGUGAGUGAUUGUAUUCUGAGGCUUUAACUUUCAUAUAACUUAACAACAGCUUUUGAAGAAGAACCAUGCAAAUUCCUUUUACAAAUUAGAGUGUCCGAAAUGCUUAAAGCAGCAAAGCUACUAACAAAAGACUAUUGGAAUUACAGUGUUCUUAAGUUGAAUUGAACUUAGAAAUAGAUCAAGCAACAAACUGAAAAAGAAUGGAUAACAGAUUGAAUCACAAGAUUUACCAUUCCAAAUCACGAGAAUAUUGUUUCCAGAAUAAAGGAAUGCAACUCUUAACUCGUUGUGGGGUCAGUCCAUCAUUAGAACUGCGGUUCAUGCAUUUGCACACCCACUAUCUUUGUAUGUACACAUUCUUAUUGCUAUACUGUUGAUCUCCAAAUCUAUGCUGCCAAAUCUUGAGUUAUAUUUUCAUUGAUGCUGCCAAAUUUAUUGACUCAUUUUAUUUGCAUAAACAAUCCAAAACCAACAUUGAGAAUCGAAAAAAGUUGAAGCAUCCACACACUGCUAGCAAGACAAGUUUUGCUCUAAUCCGCGAGGCUGAAAUGGAGAAAAUACAAUCAACUCAGGAAAGUGAACAUGACAGUCAAUCUGUAGACGCAUUUGCAUCAGUAAUGAGAGCCGAGCAUCCAGGUCGUGUAAGAUUGUAUGGACUUGGGGUUACCAAGACCGUCUUAAAAAGGAAAAUGAAAGAUUUUGGACCCUCAUUAAAUGAUACAGAGGACAAGAUGCAACAGAAAAUGGAGGAAAUGGAAGAGAGGUGGAGAAAAUGGUGAAAGGGAAGACGGAGACAUUGAUGAUCUAGACCUAACUUAAGAAGAUUUUUGGGUUAUUGCUGAAAAUUUAGAUGUUUUAAGAAUAUUUUAUACUAACUCUUGAAUAGUAAACGCUUAUGCAUGCACUUGGAUGGGUUUGAA